rnacentral:rRNA from 1 species
GUAGUCCACGCCGUAAACGAUGGAUACUCGGUGCUGCGCCGUCAGGUGCAGUGCCUAAGCUAACGCGAUAAGUAUCCCACCUGGGGAGUACGCUCGCAAGGGUGAAACUCAAAGGAAUUGACGGGGGCCCGCACAAGCGGUGGAGCAUGUGGAUUAAUUCGAUGCAACGCGAAGAACCUUACCCAGGCUCGAACGCUGCCGGACAGUCCCUGAAAGGGGAUCUUCUUCGGAUCGGUAGCGAGGUGCUGCAUGGCUGUCGUCAGUUCGUGUCGUGAGAUGUUGGGUUAAGUCCCGCAACGAACGCAACCCCUAUCGUUAGUUACCAGCGGGUCAUGCCGGGGACUCUAACGAGACUGCCUGCGCAAGCAGUGA